UCCAUCGUGGUACAGUGGUAGCACGCCAGGCCAGACAUCUGAAAACCCGAGUUCAACUCUCGGCGAUGGAG